rnacentral:rRNA from 1 species
GGGUUGUGAGGUUAAGCGACUAAGCGUACACGGUGGAUGCCCUGGCAGUCAGAGGCGAUGAAGGACGUGCUAAUCUGCGAUAAGCGUCGGUAAGGUGAUAUGAACCGUUAUAACCGGCGAUUUCCGAAUGGGGAAACCCAGUGUGAUUCGUCACACUAUCAUUAACUGAAUCCAUAGGUUAAUGAGGCGAACCGGGGGAACUGAAACAUCUAAGUACCCCGAGGAAAAGAAAUCAACCGAGAUUCCCCCAGUAGCGGCGAGCGAACGGGGAGCAGCCCAGAGCCUGAAUCAGUGUGUGUGUUAGUGGAAGCGUCUGGAAAGGCGCGCGAUACAGGGUGACAGCCCCGUACACAAAAAUGCACAUACUGUGAGCUCGAUGAGUAGGGCGGGACACGUGGUAUCCUGUCUGAAUAUGGGGGGACCAUCCUCCAAGGCUAAAUACUCCUGACUGACCGAUAGUGAACCAGUACCGUGAGGGAAAGGCGAAAAGAACCCCGGCGAGGGGAGUGAAAAAGAACCUGAAACCGUGUACGUACAAGCAGUGGGAGCACAGAGCAAUCUGUGUGACUGCGUACCUUUUGUAUAAUGGGUCAGCGACUUAUAUUCUGUAGCAAGGUUAACCGAAUAGGGGAGCCGAAGGGAAACCGAGUCUUAACUGGGCGUUAAGUUGCAGGGUAUAGACCCGAAACCCGGUGAUCUAGCCAUGGGCAGGUUGAAGGUUGGGUAACACUAACUGGAGGACCGAACCGACUAAUGUUGAAAAAUUAGCGGAUGACUUGUGGCUGGGGGUGAAAGGCCAAUCAAACCGGGAGAUAGCUGGUUCUCCCCGAAAGCUAUUUAGGUAGCGCCUCGUGAAUUCAUCUCCGGGGGUAGAGCACUGUUUCGGCAAGGGGGUCAUCCCGACUUACCAACCCGAUGCAAACUGCGAAUACCGGAGAAUGUUAUCACGGGAGACACACGGCGGGUGCUAACGUCCGUCGUGAAGAGGGAAACAACCCAGACCGCCAGCUAAGGUCCCAAAGUCAUGGUUAAGUGGGAAACGAUGUGGGAAGGCCCAGACAGCCAGGAUGUUGGCUUAGAAGCAGCCAUCAUUUAAAGAAAGCGUAAUAGCUCACUGGUCGAGUCGGCCUGCGCGGAAGAUGUAACGGGGCUAAACCAUGCACCGAAGCUGCGGCAGCGACGCUGAUGCGUUGUUGGGUAGGGGAGCGUUCUGUAAGCCUGUGAAGGUGUGCUGUGAGGCAUGCUGGAGGUAUCAGAAGUGCGAAUGCUGACAUAAGUAACGAUAAAGCGGGUGAAAAGCCCGCUCGCCGGAAGACCAAGGGUUCCUGUCCAACGUUAAUCGGGGCAGGGUGAGUCGACCCCUAAGGCGAGGCCGAAAGGCGUAGUCGAUGGGAAACAGGUUAAUAUUCCUGUACUUGGUGUUACUGCGAAGGGGGGACGGAGAAGGCUAUGUUGGCCGGGCGACGGUUGUCCCGGUUUAAGCGUGUAGGCUGGUUUUCCAGGCAAAUCCGGAAAAUCAAGGCUGAGGCGUGAUGACGAGGCACUACGGUGCUGAAGCAACAAAUGCCCUGCUUCCAGGAAAAGCCUCUAAGCAUCAGGUAACAUCAAAUCGUACCCCAAACCGACACAGGUGGUCAGGUAGAGAAUACCAAGGCGCUUGAGAGAACUCGGGUGAAGGAACUAGGCAAAAUGGUGCCGUAACUUCGGGAGAAGGCACGCUGAUAUGUAGGUGAAGAUGGAGCUGAAAUCAGUCGAAGAUACCAGCUGGCUGCAACUGUUUAUUAAAAACACAGCACUGUGCAAACACGAAAGUGGACGUAUACGGUGUGACGCCUGCCCGGUGCCGGAAGGUUAAUUGAUGGGGUUAGCGCAAGCGAAGCUCUUGAUCGAAGCCCCGGUAAACGGCGGCCGUAACUAUAACGGUCCUAAGGUAGCGAAAUUCCUUGUCGGGUAAGUUCCGACCUGCACGAAUGGCGUAAUGAUGGCCAGGCUGUCUCCACCCGAGACUCAGUGAAAUUGAACUCGCUGUGAAGAUGCAGUGUACCCGCGGCAAGACGGAAAGACCCCGUGAACCUUUACUAUAGCUUGACACUGAACAUUGAGCCUUGAUGUGUAGGAUAGGUGGGAGGCUUUGAAGUGUGGACGCCAGUCUGCAUGGAGCCGACCUUGAAAUACCACCCUUUAAUGUUUGAUGUUCUAACGUUGACCCGUAAUCCGGGUUGCGGACAGUGUCUGGUGGGUAGUUUGACUGGGGCGGUCUCCUCCUAAAGAGUAACGGAGGAGCACGAAGGUUGGCUAAUCCUGGUCGGACAUCAGGAGGUUAGUGCAAUGGCAUAAGCCAGCUUGACUGCGAGCGUGACGGCGCGAGCAGGUGCGAAAGCAGGUCAUAGUGAUCCGGUGGUUCUGAAUGGAAGGGCCAUCGCUCAACGGAUAAAAGGUACUCCGGGGAUAACAGGCUGAUACCGCCCAAGAGUUCAUAUCGACGGCGGUGUUUGGCACCUCGAUGUCGGCUCAUCACAUCCUGGGGCUGAAGUAGGUCCCAAGGGUAUGGCUGUUCGCCAUUUAAAGUGGUACGCGAGCUGGGUUUAGAACGUCGUGAGACAGUUCGGUCCCUAUCUGCCGUGGGCGCUGGAGAACUGAGGGGGGCUGCUCCUAGUACGAGAGGACCGGAGUGGACGCAUCACUGGUGUUCGGGUUGUCAUGCCAAUGGCACUGCCCGGUAGCUAAAUGCGGAAGAGAUAAGUGCUGAAAGCAUCUAAGCACGAAACUUGCCCCGAGAUGAGUUCUCCCUGACUCCUUGAGAGUCCUGAAGGAACGUUGAAGACGACGACGUUGAUAGGCCGG